AUCAAAAUACUCCACAAGGGAAACAUAUUGGAGAAAGAAAGAAUACGAUUUCAUGCCAUGGUCGGCCAUCUUUGUCCCUUCUGCCGGCGAAACUUAUUUUUUCACCGGUUCACCGUGACUCGAUGUAAAUGAACAUGGUGCCACCUCCCAACUCCCGCCAGCGAUAUUACGAAGCUGGUGGAGUUCAAGGUUACGGCGUCAUUCUUCUCGAACGGGCAAAGAGGACGCAAACACACACACCCAACCGAACAAGAGACUGUGGUUGCAACCGAUCCAAUCAGCCAAAUGAAGGACAUGAAAGAACGGCCACAGAAACGAUAGUAAAGUGGAUGAGUUCUCAUUUUUGAUGAAUAACGAAACGGGUACAAACACACUAGUCGGAAACCGGAGAGAAAGAAAGAGGUGAUGAAAAAAGGAACCAAGCAGAAAAGAAGAAGAGGUGAACGACCAUCAGUGUGUGUGUGGCGCCCGCGGCACCAACAUGUACA